rnacentral:lncRNA from 10 species
GCUGCAAACGGACUGCAUUUGUUGGGGUUGCUCAGCAGGAAAUUGGGGGGGCAGUGAGUGACUCACCAAAACUGAGGGAUACGAAAGGACAAUAGAAUAACAACAGAGAAAAACAUGAAGACAGAAAGGACACCAAAAGAUUUAUGAGGCUUUAAAUUCAGUUGUAAAGUCAAGACUGUGUGGACUUGUUUUUGCCCACUCUUUCAUUGAUGGUACAGCACUUUAAAGGCCCUCGCUUUAGGCGAUGGCUCCUUUCAUAACUUCCUAACUUUCAGGACCUGAAGGACUCAUCUCCUAUGCCUGUGUGUGUCACUAGGCUUUUGAGACAGGUAAGGCAACACCUAUCACUUGCUGCCCCAACUUCCCAA